AGCGGUGACGUCACAAGGACACUGCGCCCGUUGAGCGUCGUCGACGUGUUGUACAUACAAUUAAAAUUCUAAUUUAUGCAAAUUAUCAAAGGCGCCGCCGGUACUGUGUUUGGGUAUUUCCAUGCGACGAGUAUAAUUACAAAGAUUUUGUGAGCGUAUUUCGCGAUUAAAGCUUUAAUCGAAAAGACGUGGCGGAAUCGAGCGAUUCAUUUUGUAAUAUUUCGUCAAAUUUUAUGUUAUGCUGCACUAAGUUCACUAGCUACAUCACUCACCAGAGGAAUCUGCCGACAACCUUUCGGAUGCGCCUCACGCUGAGGAAUGAAAUUUCAAUUUGAAUUGCACGCAAUGCGAACAGAAUAGAUUCCUUUUCUUCUUCAGUGGAGCCUUAUCACCACUGAAUCGCUAAACAAUUUGGGAGCGCGUCUUUGCGUUUCUUCUUCAACGGCUCCAUCAAUGCUGGAAACUGUGGCAGGGGUGAUGACAGAAGUUUGCCACAGACUCCAAGGAAGCAAUCAAUGGAAAACUGCUACCGAGAUGCGAUUACUCGAAACACUAAACUCGAAAAAAAAUAUAUGCGUUUACAUUUUUACAGCGAAUUUCCAUGCGCUCUCGCCGCGAAGAAAAAUUAACUCUAUAUCACUUGACGCGGGUGCGAUAUGCAUACGAGUAUGAAUGCAUGGACGGGACGGACCGGUAAAUCAGUAAGGCAAUCGCUACGAUAUUUUGCUCAGAUGGGCGGAUAAUUGAGACGCGGCGCACCAGUCAGCCGCAACGCUCGACUGCUACUGUCCGCGGACGACUUUGCCAAGACCGCACCAAACAACAAAGCGUAAAAGUGCGAAGCAACUUGAAGAAGACGCCGACGCUAACACCGAUAUCAACGCCAACGCCUGUUUCGUCGUAAAAGAGCCACCAUGGAAGUGGAAGGGAAUCUAAGUGUAUUUGCCACCCCCUCGUUACGCCAUACUCAACUUUGGCAAGUGGUUCGAAGCGACUCACACAGGCGAGCGGACAUGUUCUGCUGCUGAGUAGAGUUAAGAAGCAAGUGAAGUGCUGGACACGCGCACUGGCACAUCUGCUCUCACGAAGGAUACGCUCUUGCACUCCUUACAAUACAACUACACUAACGCAUACCUCAUAGGGUAAUAUGUAAGUUGAAGGUGCGAGUUUUUGCAAAAAAAAGCACCACUCUAUAGCAAUAACGUCCCCGAAGGGUAUAUUGCCCUAGAAAAAAGCGAGGCAAAAAAUGAGAAAAAAUGGUGGUGGAAAAUAUAAAAAAAAAAAUAGAAAAUAAGUCAUCCCCUCACUUUUCGCACGCACACAUGCUCAAAAAAGCACACUCCCAUCCACACAUAUGUACAUAUGCUAGUAAACAAUGAGGCGGAUGACGAGCAAAAAAGCAUGACGAAUUUUUCCAAAGUUUUUAUAUUCCAUCCAUCAACACACGUAUUCGCUUUCUGGCGCUCACACGCUUUGUGUCGAUCCUGAAGGUAUUGAAGUGCAAAAAAAAAAUACGAAUAACUGGAGGAUAACCCACCCUGUUUUCAGGUCCUAAAAAUCCGUUCCCUGUUCAUCACUAAUAUACUCUUGGCACAGUUUUCUUUUGGCGGCGGGAUUGUUGAAUAUUUGCAAAACUGCAAAAAUAUGGAAAGUAAUUUCAAGAAAGUUGAUAUGCCCGCACCCCAAGGAAGUAUUAUCGAGGCAGACAACACAAGCUCAAGCAGCACCACGGAAGACCGGCCUCCGCCCAGAAUUUUUCACAAUUGAGCAAUUGUAAAAAUUUUCAUUUUUAAUCAAAAAGGUUUUUCUUGAAACUACCUUCUUUUCGGUAUCAUGCAAAUAGCCUUUAAUUUGUUAUUGGAUGUAAGAAGUCUGUACCUAUUUUGCUGUAUUUUUUUGUGAAAAAACGA